CCACCACCAAAGCAUUCUCUGGUGUUGAAGGCCCUGCAAAGCAGCAUCGCGGUGGCGGAGCGUCGUUUGCGACGCCCAACACACAAAACAAGCGGUGAGUGCUUUGGGGUGGGGUGACUGCGUACCUUUUGUAUAAUGGGUCAGCGACUUAUAUUCUGUAGCAAGGUUAACCGAAUAGGGGAGCCGGAGGGAAACCGAGUCUUAAUUGGGCGUUAAGUUGCAGGGUAUAGACCCGAAACCCGGUGAUCUAGCCAUGGGCAGGUUGAAGGUUGGGUAACACUAACUGGAGGACCGAACCGACUAAUGUUGAAAAAUUAGCGGAUGACCUGUGGCUGGGGGUGAAAGGCCAAUCAAACCGGGAGAUAGCUGGUUCUCCCCGAAAGCUAUUUAGGUAGCGCCUCGUGAAUUCAUCUCCGGGGGUAGAGCACUGUUUCGGCUAGGGGGCCAUCCCGGCUUACCAACCCGAUGCAAACUGCGAAUACCGGAGAAUGUUAUCACGGGAGACACACGGCGGGUGCUAACGUCCGUCGUGAAGAGGGAAACAACCCAGACCGCCAGCUAAGGUCCCAAAGUCAUGGUUAAGUGGGAAACGAUGUGGGAAGGCCCAGACAGCCAGGAUGUUGGCUUAGAAGCAGCCAUCAUUUAAAGAAAGCGUAAUAGCUCACUGGUCGAGUCGGCCUGCGCGGAAGAUGUAACGGGGCUAAACCAUGCACCGAAGCUGCGGCAGCGACGCUUAUGCGUUGUUGGGUAGGGGAGCGUUC
rnacentral:rRNA from 1 species